CAUCAGUAUCUCUCUCAAUUCAGUUCGAUUCUGCAAGUUCAAUCCUUAGCUUCUUCAAGCACAGGGAAAGAGAGGGCUUUUGGAGAAGAAAUUACCUCAGGAAUCAGCUAGAUUUCAGGUAGAGCAAUGUCAUGGAAGGAACCUUGAGGGUAAUGGUUGAAGACACAGGGAUCUUGCUGAUGAAAGUGCUGAUUUGCAGAGGGCACUGUGGAAAGACUGGGGAGUUGGGAAGAGGAGUAGAAUUUGGUGAUAUCCAGAGCAAUGUAGGGAUGAGAGUCUGGUUAUGAGAGAUGACUUCAAAGUUUUGGGCUUUUUAGUGAUUGAUAGAAACAGAGAUGUAGCACGUGACAGGAUUCCUCCUGAAGGUCUUCAAGGCAGACUUGAUGAUGAGGCUGUGAGUGUUGCAGGAAAGAGGUCUUGCCCCUUCUUCCCUUUUGCUGAGCAUACUGUCAAGGCAGAGGAAACUGUUCUUACC
rnacentral:lncRNA from 10 species